CAACGUGGGUGACCUGCCCUCAAGUGGGGAAUAACGCUGCGAAAGCAGUGCUAAUACCGCAUAAGCUUGGCUCGCAAGAGUCAAGUAAAGCUUCGGCGCUUGAGGAGGGACCCGCGGCUGAUUAGCUAGAUGGUGGGGUAACGGCCUACCAUGGCGAUGAUCAGUAGCCGGCCUGAGAGGGCUGACGGCCACACUGGGACUGAGACACGGCCCAG
rnacentral:rRNA from 1 species